rnacentral:rRNA from 1 species
GAUGAACGCUGGCGGCGUGCCUAAUACAUGCAAGUAGAACGCUGAAGGAAGGAGCUUGCUCUUUCCGGAUGAGUUGCGAACGGGUGAGUAACGCGUAGGUAACCUGCCUGGUAGCGGGGGAUAACUAUUGGAAACGAUAGCUAAUACCGCAUAACAGUAGAUGUUGCAUGAUAUCUACUUAAAAGGUGCAAUUGCACCACUACCAGAUGGACCUGCGUUGUAUUAGCUAGUUGGUGAGGUAACGGCUCACCAAGGCGACGAUACAUAGCCGACCUGAGAGGGUGAUCGGCCACACUGGGACUGAGACACGGCCCAGACUCCUACGGGAGGCAGCAGUAGGGAAUCUUCGGCAAUGGGCGGAAGUCUGACCGAGCAACGCCGCGUGAGUGAAGAAGGGUUUCGGAUCGUAAAGCUCUGUUGUAAGAGAAGAACGAGUGUGAGAGUGGAAAGUUCACACUGUGACGGUAUCUUACCAGAAAGGGACGGCUAACUACGUG